UUUCCUGAUCAACGCUAAUCGGAUCAGGGUUAGUCGGGUCCUAAGGGUAAGCCGAACGGCGAUCUCGAUGGAUAAUCGGUUAAUAUUCCGAUACUAACAUAUACCUCGAUGGAGAGACGAAGGAACGUAAGUGCCGCCACCUGACGGAAUAGGUGGUUAAAGGGCGUAGGUAUAGGGGCAGAUUAAGAGUUAGUCCUUGCUGAAACCUGACAGUACAGAGAGCCUACGGGCAAUUUGAUAGAGCACCCAAGUCGACUUCCGAGAAAAUCUUCUAAGUUAUAGUAUAUGUUACCCGUACCGUAAACCGACACAGGUGGUCGAGGAGAGUAUCCUAAGGUGCUCGAGUGAAUCACGGUUAAGGAACUAGGCAAAUUAACCCCGUAACUUCGGGAAAAGGGGUCCCUAUGAAAGUAGGGCGCAGCGAAGAGGUCCAGGCGACUGUUUAUCAAAAACACAGGGCUCUGCAAAUUCGAAAGAAGACGUAUAGGGCCUGACACCUGCCCGGUGCUGGAAGGUUAAGAGGGGAUGUCAUCGCAAGAGAAGCAUUGAAUCGAAGCCCCAGUAAACGGCGGCCGUAACUAUAACGGUCCUAAGGUAGCGAAAUUCCUUGUCGGGUAAGUUCCGACCUGCACGAAUGGUGUAACGAUCUGGACACUGUCUCAGCCAUGAGCUCGGUGAAAUUGUAGUAUCGGUGAAGAUGCCGAUUACCCGCUGCGGGACGAAAAGACCCCGUGAACCUUCACUACAACUUAAUAUUGUUUUCGGGUAAGUCAUGCGUAGGAUAGGUGGGAGGCUGCGAAGCGGUUACUCCGGUAGUCGUGGAGCCACUGUUGAAAUACCACCCUUGACUUAUUUGGGAACUAACUCCGCGGAAUGCGGAGGACACUAUUUGGUGGGUAGUUUGACUGGGGUGGUCGCCUCCAAAAUAGUAACGGAGGCUUCCAAAGCUGCCCUCAGCACGCUUGGUCAUCGUGCGUAGAGUGCAUUAGCAAAAGGGCGGUUGACUGCAAGACCUACAAGUCGAGCAGGUGCGAAAGCAGGGUAAAGUGAUCCGGUGGUUCCGAGUGGAAGGGCCAUCGCUCAAAGGAUAAAAGGUACUCCGGGGAUAACAGGCUGAUCUCCCCCAAGAGCUCACAUCGACGGGGGGGUUUGGCACCUCGAUGUCGGCUCGUCACAUCCCGGGGCUGGAGAAGGUCCCAAGGGUUGGGCUGUUCGCCCAUUAAAGUGGCACGCGA
rnacentral:rRNA from 1 species